rnacentral:tRNA from 1 species
UGGGGGAUAGCUCAGUGGUAGAGCGCUUGCCUAGGAUGUGUGAGGCUCUGAGUUCAACUCAAUACCACAA